GACGAACGCUGGCGGCGUGCUUAACACAUGCAAGUCGAACGGAAAGGCCCUGCUUGCAGGGUACUCGAGUGGCGAACGGGUGAGUAACACGUGGGUGAUCUGCCCUGCACUUCGGGAUAAGCCUGGGAAACUGGGUCUAAUACCGGAUAGGAGCCAUUUUUAGUGUGAUGGUUGGAAAGUUUUUUCGGUGUAGGAUGAGCUCGCGGCCUAUCAGCUUGUUGGUGGGGUAAUGGCCUACCAAGGCGGCGGCGGGUAGCCGGCCUGAGAGGGUGGACGGCCACAUAGAGACUGAGAGACGGCCCAGGCUCCUACGGGAGGCAGCAGUGGGGAAUAUUGCACGAUGGGCGCAAGCCUGAUGCAGCGACGCCGCGUGGGGGAUGACGGCCUUCGGGUUGUAAACUCCUUUCGCUAGGGACGAAGCUUUUUGUGACGGUACCUAGAUAAGAAGCACCGGCUAACUACGUG
rnacentral:rRNA from 1 species